UCUCAUCUAAGCCCGACGUUUUAGA
rnacentral:miRNA from 1 species